GAUCGAAUGAAGAGAUUCAUCGUCAGCGUAUUCAKUAUUAAUGCAGYCUAUGAUGUGAURAUAGAACCCUCGUGGUCACUAAAUUAUACUUGCUUGUAUUAUUAUUGCUGGGUAUGUCGGCGUGCACUUCUCUUCUAGUAGAACGUCGCAACCCGUUAAAUGUUUAUCUAUGGCUUGGAUGGUUGCCUUUGAUAUUUUUACAUAUUGAAGACCUUCAAUGUCCUGAUGAACUGUUUGACGGUAUWCAUAUGGUAUUGGGCCGCAAUUAUUUUNWUUCURGUAGUGCGGAUCUAAUGCCGUCGCUGGACAAAGUYUGCUGUUGGCUGUGUAAUGUCUUUAACUGGCUUAUUUACCGGUUAGCGAUGCUACUGCUUUGGGUACUUACAGGACCCGUCUUGAAACACGGACCAAGGAGUCUAACAUGUGCGCGAGUCAUUGGGAUAUAUUUAUAUAAUYCAAACCUAAAGGCGCAAUGAAAGUAUAGAUUGUCUUACGACAAUUGAGGGAAGAUGGGUUACGUUACGAUGUAAUUCCGCACUCCCAGGACGUUCUAUNCUCAU
rnacentral:rRNA from 1 species